UACGUAGGGACCAAGCGUUGUUCGGAUUUACUGGGCGUAAAGGGCGCGUAGGCGGCACUGCAAGUCAGUUGUGAAAUCUCCGGGCUUAACCCGGAAAGGUCAACUGAUACUGCAGGGCUAGAGUGCAGAAGGGGCAACUGGAAUUCUCGGUGUAGCGGUGAAAUGCGUAGAUAUCGGGAGGAACACCAGUGGCGAAGGCGGCUCUCUGGGCCUUUCCUGACGCUGAGACGCGAAAGCGUGGGGAGCGAACCGG
rnacentral:rRNA from 1 species